GACGAACGCUGGCGGCGUGCUUAACACAUGCAAGUCGAACGGAAAGGCCCUGCUUUUGUGGGGUGCUCGAGUGGCGAACGGGUGAGUAACACGUGAGUAACCUGCCCUUGACUUUGGGAUAACUUCAGGAAACUGGGGCUAAUACCGGAUAGGAGCUCCUGCUGCAUGGUGGGGGUUGGAAAGUUUCGGCGGUUGGGGAUGGACUCGCGGCUUAUCAGCUUGUUGGUGGGGUAGUGGCUUACCAAGGCUUUGACGGGUAGCCGGCCUGAGAGGGUGACCGGCCACAUUGGGACUGAGAUACGGCCCAGACUCCUACGGGAGGCAGCAGUGGGGAAUAUUGCACAAUGGGCGGAAGCCUGAUGCAGCAAUGCCGCGUGAGUGAUGAAGGCCUUAGGGUUGUAAAGCUCUUUUACCCGGGAUGAUAAUGACAGUACCGGGAGAAUAAGCUCCGGCUAACUCCGUG
rnacentral:rRNA from 1 species